rnacentral:tRNA from 1 species
CAGAAGAUAAUUUAAAAAAAAUCUUAACUUUGGAAGUUAAAUAUCGGGUUCUCCUCGUCCUCUGA